UAUACAGAGUGUUGAAUGUAAAUUUGUCUAUGGGUGUUGGUCAUAACCUCUUCGGAGGUUAUAACGAAAAAAAUGUGAACAUAUUGGGUUCUUCAAUGCAGAACAACACAACAAUCUAAAGAACAUCUACAGUUUCAUUUUUAGGUAGAAUUUAAUAUUCGUCCGAUAAUGAAAAAACCACAAAUCCUUGCAGGAAUGAAAAAAUAUCAACAGUGAUUUGCCGCCCCAAUAUUCAAAUUGAAGAGUGAUAUGUUAGAACAGUUUCAAAGUAUGGUUGAAUAGCGAAACGUCGCAGAAAAAAUCGAACAACUAAAGAAAUAAACUUCGCUUCUCGAAAAGGAAAAGACAAAAAAAUACCAAUAGAGCUAGCACAGACAGAAGCUCAGCUACCCAAAAGCAUACCCAACUUGGGAAAAUACCCCGUUAUUUACGAAAAAUGUAUCUAUAGGUUCUGUUUUCAAACCAGAUGUAAAACAAAUAAGUGUACAAUUGCGGACAUGAUGAACGCAUGGGAUAGCUUACAUGGAUGAAGCUAAGUUAAACUAUGUUACUAUUGCGCAAAAGAAGUAACGUGUGCAUUUGUGCAAAAACUUACCAAAACAACUACAGAUGUGAACAUGGGGAAAAGACCAAACAAACAUGAAAAAAAACCGAUUUUUGUGAAAAUGUCUACUACGUGCGAAAACAGAGGAAUAUAAAAGCCGCAGUAUAGUUCUCAGAUCUAGAGGUGAUUGAAGUUACUUAUGAGGAUGUGUCCAGGGUUUGACAAAGGUUUAUUAACAUUCAAAACUUUGUAUUCAAUCGUGAGUACAAUAACGGAAAAUGGAGUCAAUUUUCUGAUAAAGACAACGAUUCGAAAGCUUUUGAAAAAAGUUUAUUCGGGAUAUACAUAAUUUAUUUUUAUAUUUAAAUGUAGGUAUUCAUCAAAUACCAAAACUAUAAUGUAUUUCAACUAAGUAUUUAAAAAAUAUAUAAUCUUCGUUU